rnacentral:rRNA from 1 species
GAUGAACGCUGGCGGCGUGCCUAAUACAUGCAAGUCGAGCGAACGGACGAGAAGCUUGCUUCUCUGAUGUUAGCGGCGGACGGGUGAGUAACACGUGGAUAACCUACCUAUAAGACUGGGAUAACUUCGGGAAACCGUAGCUAAUACCGGAUAAUAUUUUGAACCGCAUGGUUCAAAAGUGAAAGACGGUCUUGCUGUCACUUAUAGAUGGAUCCGCGCUGCAUUAGCUAGUUGGUAAGGUAACGGCUUACCAAGGCAACGAUGCAUAGCCGACCUGAGAGGGUGAUCGGCCACACUGGAACUGAGACACGGCCCAGACUCCUACGGGAGGCAGCAGUAGGGAAUCUUCCGCAAUGGGCGAAAGCCUGACGGAGCAACGCCGCGUGAGUGAUGAAGGUCUUCGGAUCGUAAAACUCUGUUAUUAGGGAAGAACAUAUGUUUAAGUAACUGUGCACAUCUUGACGGUACCUAAUCAGAAAGCCACGGCUAACUACGUG